AUUGAACGCUGGCGGCAGGCCUAACACAUGCAAGUCGAACGAGUGGCGGACGGGUGAGUAAUGUCUGGGAAACUGCCUGAUGGAGGGGGAUAACUACUGGAAACGGUAGCUAAUACCGCAUACCAUCGGAUGUGCCCAGAUGGGAUUAGCUAGUAGGCGGGGUAAAGGCUCACCUAGGAGACGAUCCCUAGCUGGUCUGAGAGGAUGACCAGCCACACUGGAACUGAUCCACGGUCCAGACUCCUACGGGAGGCAGCAGUGGGGAAUAUGGCACAAGGGGCGCAAGCCUGAGGCAGCCAUGCCGCGUGUAUUAAGAAGGCCCUCGGGGCGUAAAGUACUUUCAGGGGUGAGGCGUUACCCGCAGAAGAAGCACCGGCUAACGCCGGGCCAGCCGCCGCGGUAAUUC
rnacentral:rRNA from 1 species